AUUUUUUAGGUCACAAGCAUCAAUAAAAUUUGUUCUUAUCAGCUUAAUAUCUGACAUGUAUCCAAUUGGUCUUAUUGAACUUAUUUUUGUAAGUGGUGUUCCUAGGAGGCUUGCUUUGAGGACGCCAGGGUUGGUCCGGUAUUGCACUACUUCCGGGAGUGGCCCGUUCCCA
rnacentral:snRNA from 1 species